rnacentral:rRNA from 1 species
UAAAAAAUAAAUAAAACUUGGUUUUUAGGUGAAGAAACCUAAAUAACAUUGAAAGACAAGAAGACCCUAUCGAACUUAAAAAAAUUUUACUGAACACUAAAAACUAAUAUCACUAAAAAAUUUUGGUUGGGGCGACCAAGGAACAACAAAAGCUUCCUCUAAACAAUAAAUACAAAUAAGUAUUGAUCCAAAAACUGAUUAAAAAAAUUAGCUACCGUAGGGAUAACAGCAUAAUCUUUUUUAAGAGUUCUUAUCGAAAAAAAGGUUUGUGACCUCGAUGUUGGACUAGGAUAUCCCGAUAGACGCAG